rnacentral:lncRNA from 1 species
CUCACUCAUCAUUGUGAUUCCAGUCGCUUCAUCCACAACUUUAGAGGUUGAAAUUUAUUAGGAAACUAAACUGAUAAAAUCCCAGUGCCAAAGGUGAUUAUAAAUCAGGACUCAGAUCUAGAUCUAGAUCUUGAUGCAAGUGUGAUGGGAUCACUUACAAAUCUUGGAAUGAAUGUUGUCAAGGCAAAUGAUCAUCUGAAUUCUUCCGGGAAUCACACCAUGUUUUUAACAACUGAAGCAUCAUAGACAUGAUGCAGCAAGAGCAGAAAAUUCAUUUACUCUUAUUUUUAGGAGUGAAUUAAUCGGUAUGCAAAUCUGCAAAAAAGGGGCAAAAUUGCAAAGGCUAAAAGACUGAUGAUGUUCAAACUGGUAACGGUUUGGUUUGGUUUCAAAUUUCAGCGGUUUGGUUCUGGUUUAC